UACUACGUGCUCUGCUGCUAUUCUUCUGACAUGCUGUAAUCAGUGGCAUUCUGUGAGGGCUUUUUUGGUGGAAGCUAAUAUAUUUGAUUGUUUUGGAGGCUCAGCCAUCACCCAGAACUGAUAUGAGUUGGGACAGUGAUAUGUCUACUUUACUCCUACUGUUUCACACCUCGGCCAACUGGGAGAAAGAGGACUAAUAAGACCACGUCAAGCCAUGGACCAUCUUGUAGAUUUUCACGAGUCAUGUCUGAAUCUUGGAGAGCAUUUGGAUGCAGAUGAAUGUCGGCAGCCAUAUCCUCUUGCUUUGGGAUCCAGCAGAUGAGCUAUCAACAGCUUCUACAUUGUCAUGGAUAAAAAGCACAUCUCAUGACAAAGAACCACGUCGCUUGCAGCAAUUGAUGAGCUUUUCAAGGUCUACUCGAAGAGUCUCCAAAAGUGAAGGAAUUGCAAGCCAAGUUGAUGAAUGAUAUAUAGGUGUUGUGCUCGUAGGACACUAAAUCAUUCAAGUGGGGUAUUAAUUUGACAUCUCAAACUUUCACAUGGUUUAUAUCCUGGCAAAAAGUUCAAUUUGUUACAUGCACAUGAUGGUUGUUCUUUGAAGUUUAAAAGUUACUGUGGUUUCAGAAGACAUCUUAUUUCAUCAGAAGACAUCUUACAUUUUUCACAGUGACACUAGUGAUACUGAACCUCUGAGCUGCUCUUAUGAGCCAACAACUUCAACUGUCAUCUCAUCUGUAGGUAUUCCGGCUCUGCCUAUGAAUGGACCUAACAAUUCAUCUUUUUUUGGAAU